GCCUGCAUGGCUCAGUCGGUUAAGCAUCUGACUUCAGCUCAGAUCAUGAUCUCAUGGUUCGUGAGUUCAAGCCCCAUGUCAGGCU
rnacentral:tRNA from 1 species